GAUGAACGCUGGCGGCGUGCCUAAUACAUGCAAGUCGAGCGAACAGACGAGGAGCUUGCUCCUCUGACGUUAGCGGCGGACGGGUGAGUAACACGUGGAUAACCUACCUAUAAGACUGGGAUAACUUCGGGAAACCGGAGCUAAUACCGGAUAAUAUAUUGAACCGCAUGGUUCAAUAGUGAAAGACGGUGUUGCUGUCACUUAUAGAUGGAUCCGCGCCGCAUUAGCUAGUUGGUAAGGUAACGGCUUACCAAGGCGACGAUGCGUAGCCGACCUGAGAGGGUGAUCGGCCACCCUGGAACUGAGACACGGUCCAGACUCCUACGGGAGGCAGCAGUAGGGAAUCUUCCGCAAUGGGCGAAAGCCUGACGGAGCAACGCCGCGUGAGUGAUGAAGGUCUUCGGAUCGUAAAACUCUGUUAUUAGGGAAGAACAAAUGUGUACGUAACUAUGCACGUCUUGACGGUACCUAAUCAGAAAGCCACGGCUAACUACGUG
rnacentral:rRNA from 1 species